ensembl:lncRNA
UGUGUGUGUGUGUGUGUGUGUAUGUUUGUGUGUGUGUGUGUGUGUGUGUCUGUGUGCGUGUGUGUCUGUGUGUGCGUGUGUGUGUUACCUUCUCUGCAGCUCCAGCUCUUCUGCUGAGGGGCCAUUCUGAACUGGAGGGCCCUGCCUGCUGGGACCUAUCAUACACACACACGCACGCACACGCACGCACACACACACACACACACACACACACAGUCAAUAAGAUGCAGCUUAUAUGAUAACAAUAAAGACCCAUGAAUACCUAUAUGUGUAGGAGGCGUUAGGGCGGGGUGUUGUUGGGUUCUCCUGAGGCUAUGUGUAGGAGGCGUUAGGGCGGGUGUUGUUGGGUUCUCCUGAGGCUAUGUGUAGGAGGGUUAGGGCGGGUGUUGUUGGGUUCUCCUGAGGCUAUGUGUAGGAGGCGUUAGGGCGGGGUGUUGUUGGGUUCUCCUGAGGCUAUGUGUAGGAGGCGUUAGGGCGGGUGUUGUUGGGUUCUCCUGAGGCUAUGUGUAGGAGGGUUAGGGCGGGGUGUUGUUGGGUUCUCCUGAGGCUAUGUGUAGGAGGCGUUAGGGCGGGGUGUUGUUGGGUUCUCCUGAGGCCGCCUCCAGUGAUCCACCUCUUCUCCCUCCUCCCUGACCUCUGUGUGAGCUCAGCCAAUUAAAAAUCAACCACAUUAAGCUUGGCCUAUCAGAGACAUCUCCACGUUGAAGGGGGAGGGGUCUGACCUACAGAGGCUCUCCUUAUCGGGAGGUCACAGGUCAGAGGUCAGUGGUUAGGGUCCUGUUGGGCGAUGUAGCUGUCUGCCUGUAUCCUGUCUGCCUGUAUCCUGUCUGCCUGUCACCUGUCUGCCUGUCACCUGUCUGCCUGUCACCUGUCUGCCAGUAUCCUGUCUGCCUGUAUCCUGUCUGCCUGUAUCCCUGUCUGCCUGUAUCCUGUCUGCCUGUCACCUGUCUGCCUGUUGUAAUUUCUGUCUGUUUGCCUGCCUGCUUGUCUGUGUGUCUGUCUACCUGUCUGUCUCAGUGGAAGGAAAGAGGAGACUGCUUUGACAGCCAUUAGUAUUCAGCUAGUGGCUGAGAGGGAGAGCGGGAGAGAGGGAGAGAGGGAGAGAGAGAGAGAGAGAGAGAGAGAGAGAGAGAGAGAGAGAGACAGAGAGAGAGAGAGAGAGAGAGAGAGAGAGAGAGAGAGAGAGAGAGAGAGAGAGAGAGAGAGAGAGAGAGAGAGAGAGAGAGAGAGAGAGAGAGAGAGAGAGAGAGAGAGAGAGAGAGAGAGAGAGAGAGAGAGAGAGAGAGAGAGAGAGAGAGAGAGAGAGAGAGAGAGAGAGAGAGAGAGAGAGAGAGAGAGAGAGACAGA